GAUACAAGACGCGGUCACUACACUGGGCUCUGACCACAGGUCUGUUUCCAGGCAGUGACGCAGGAACAUUUCUUAGAUAUCAGGGACCACAUUACUGCUCUGUGUACCAUUAUUAGUGCAUGGUACCAACAAAGUCUAUGGGAAUCCCGCCACUUCACAUCAAGUUCUCUUUGUGAAGACCCAUGGAAGGAAGGUCCUGGUGCCCAGAACAAAACUGAAUUUCUCCUGUACAACUGGUGAGCUCUGGAGGAGAAGGUGCCAAAAUCAGUUGUAGCGAAGUAAGAAGCAGGGAAGCCCGGGGCCACGUGUUUUCUGUCCAUAUUGUUACUGCGUUUCCAGAUACACAUGAGCCGUUACUGAGCAUUACACACUCUUACCUACCACACUCUGAUCCACCUGGAGGGUGUUCGUGGGCAGAAGUUCCCCCGGGAUUAGAGAAAUGGAAGAAUGCCAGGUCACGCCCAGGAAUCGGCACUUUCAACGAACCCGUUGAGUGAGUCCCAGCAGACGGUCAUUGAACUGCUAAAUACCGCCUGGAACAUGCUGAAGAAACCGGAUCAAAUUUUGGGUGAUUUCCCUCUCCCUCCAAGAGACGGAUUUAUGGUUUGGGUAAAAACCAUUAAGAACACAUUGGUUUUUUCAUUGGUUUCACUUUGAGUUUCUGCCUCCUGCAAUACAAAGUGAAAUCACCCAGGGCCUCGCAGCUUGGGUCUCCGCCUCCCACGUGAGGCGGGGUACCGCAUGACCAGAAAGCUCAGAACUGAAACCAGAGGAGACACAAGGCGAGGGGAACCUGUAGAUGUGCAGAUAUACUUUUUUCUUUUACUUUCUUUCUUUUAAAAAAAUUAUAAAAUCUUGACACUCCUUCCGUCAGAAUUCGUGCGGAUGAAUCAGUUCAGCGCGCAUCUAGCAUCAGAGAGCUGGCGAAUAUCCAAAUCAGUUGGGUGGUGAAGCUACAGCUAGACAUGGACUGACUACUGCCUUUUCUAAGGAGAAUAAAUGAAGACCAAAUGAAAAUCAAUAUUCUGCAGGGUUAUUCACAAUAGCCAAAGUGGGGAAACAACCCAAUGUCCAUCAACAGAUGAAUGGAUAAACAAAAUGUGGUAUACACAGACAGCGGAAUAUUAUUCAGCCAUAAAAAGGAACGAAGUACUGACACAUGCUACAACAUGGAUGAACUUUGAAAACAUUAUGCUAAACGAAGAAGAUUAGCUCUGAGCUCAC
rnacentral:lncRNA from 1 species